UGUUAAAACUUUAAUCCAUUUAUACUAUUAAAAAUUAGUAUUGCUGACGAAAUAAUCAAACAAUUAUAUGUGGCGUGCCAUGUAUACUUGAUGCUUAUGUACAAUGUCUAGUUUUUAAUAAUAAAAAUGGAUGAAAUUCUUAACA
rfam:Gossypium arboreum cultivar AKA8401 contig_31170_1, whole genome shotgun sequence.